UCACAUUUGUAAUAUACAUCUGACCAUCCAAUUUUCCACAAGAAAGGAACCGAAUAAUAAAUAAUCAAAGGAAAGGAACAUCAAAGUAGGUAAGUUCUUCGAUAAGCAAAAUUAUAAAUAUAAUCUACAAUCACGAGAGUUUCCAUUAACGAUCAACAACUCAACAAAUAGAAAUCAAUGAAUAGACUAAGAUCCCUUUAUAAGGCUUUGUUACUCCAGCCUAAUACCAGAAGGCAUUAUAAUUCCACAAGAUCUAAAAUAUAAAUUGGACAAAGUGAAGCAUGAAAUUUCUCAACAUAUUGUAAUUUUUCCAAGCCAUAAAGUAUUUAACAUUUAGGAUGCGUUUGAUUGUAAGCCAAUUACAAUCAGAUGUGGUCUUAUCUUUGGAUAGUUUUUCAUCAGAGUUAUCUGAUGAGUUCACAUCAGCAACCAUCGGCGCCGAUCUCUGAGUAUUAUCGUUUAUCAUCCGAAUAAUUACAAUCCUUCUCUUAAGUAGGCUCAUUUACACACUUUCUGCAUUCCAUACGAAUUUCUAUCAGAGUUAUUUGGUGAAAUCACAUCAGCAACUCCAGCGUCAAUCUCUGAGUAUUAUCGUUUACCAUCCGAAUAAUUACAAUCCUUCUGUUAAGUAGGCUUAUUUACACACUUUCUGCAUUCCAUACGAAUUCCCUCGAUAAAUCGCUCACUUGACCAUCGGGAGCCU
rnacentral:lncRNA from 1 species